rfam:Candidatus Yanofskybacteria bacterium RIFCSPLOWO2_01_FTLL_42_49 rifcsplowo2_01_scaffold_315, whole genome shotgun sequence.
CCAAGGGCACCGCUCGGUAGCUAUGUUCGGUUCUGAUAAGCGCUGAAAGCAUAUAAGCGCGAAGCAGGCCUCAAGAUUAGGUAUCAGGACGCAAGUCCGAUGAUUCGUUGUAGAUUACGACGUUGAUAGGGCUCAGGUGUAAGUCCGGUGACGGAUUCAGCCGAGAGCUACUAAUAAAUCAUUUGAGUAAUUUUU